CCAUUCAGAAGCACAGGAAUAAGAAUAGGGGGUUUCUUCCUCUCCCCCUUUUCCCUCUCCCCCACCCUUAUGUUGCUGUAUGAGAAAUUCUUGUGGAAUUAGUGGCUUGCAUGUCAUAAAGGACAUUUAUUCCCUGCAAAUUGCAACAACUUGAGAGGAACCCUACUGCAAUCAUAGCACAGUCUGUGUAGCAAGUGCAUGCCUGAAUAGCCAGAUAAAUCCAGCUGAAUUGCAGUUUAGACAUGGAGGGUAAUACUGGCACUUUGUUGCUGCUGAUUCAGAAAACAUAAAAAUUUUUGCAGCCUGAUAUUGCACAAGAUUGUGGGAAGCCAUCCAGAUGACAUCAUUAAAAUGCAGCAGUCCUUAUCUGGCCUGAAGGUUAAAUUCUUCAAUCACCUAAAAUAAUUUGUGCCCUUGGACAAGUUGUGAACCGUUAAGGAAGAAAAAGCUGAAAGAGCUGGAACUUGGAACUGGGACAAGUUAGUCUCUUGUGCUGCUGAAUUUCAAGAUACUCCAUUUCUGGAACUCUGAAAAUGUAGUGAAGGGUCACCAUAUUAGGUCAUAUCCUUUUGACAUGUGAUGUGAAUCGUCAGAAUGAGAAUUGAGUAAAAACAGAGAUGAAGGAACAGAAGUUUUUUAUCAUGCAUAUGCAAUUUAAAAAUAAAAAUAGACAACAUGCAAAGAAAUCUGAAAACCUAGACAUCUGAUUUUUCAAAAGCAUCCCAGAGUUAAUUCUGUUUGAUCCUCCUCUGAAACCUGGCUGUUUUAUUAGCACCAGCAAUAACUUGCAGUAGGAGACUCCAUAGUUUAAUUGCUGUUGGGUGAAAAGGUUUUUCUAUUACCAGACUGAUGUUUCAGCCUUUCAAUUUUGUACAAUUCCCUUGUGUUCUUCUUUCAUGAAAAAGGGUACUUAGCAGAACCCCAUUUAAUUUCUCUGAACGAUUAAUUUCAUUUUUUUCAUUUAGUAAUUUUU